AUUGCAUCGUUGUUAUUUGAAUACGGUUUCUCCACGUCAAAGUUAUUACGAAUACAUGAUUAUCCAUCGUUGAUUUAUACAUACUUUUUGCAACGGAGGAUAUUUUUACAUAAAAUUUGUGUGACCAGAUCUUCAUAUUGUUACCUAUUUUACGUACAAACAUAUCGCACUGAUUAUCCAUCGUUGGAUUUUUUUUUUUGAAAAUAUCAAAAUUGGUAUUGUAGUUAUUAAAUUUUUCUAAUGAAUUGAUAUUCAGGGUCCCUUUAUAUUUUUAGAUAAACGCUCUAACAAAAAAAAGAAAUUAUUGAAAUCAUAAAACAUGAUGUGCAAUCUUUUUGGUUUGAUUGAAAAGUCAAAUUUGACUAUUAAUGUAACAAAUCAUUUAUAAUUCAAUCAUAUUCGG
rnacentral:lncRNA from 1 species